ACUUUAUAUUUAGGAACGGAGUGAUCUAUUAUAGUACUAUGUAAGUUACAGCCAGCUGACCAUGGGUCAACGACUCAGCGUGCUACCCUUCCCAGCCAUAAAAAAAAAACCCAAAUUCUCGUUCUCCUCCCGUUCCUUUUUCACCGUUCCUUGCCUGAUCCAUGGAUUCAUCCAUCCACAUUAGUUGCUAGAUCCUGCCAAGGGAGGAGGACGGGGUGAGAAGGGGGAUUUGCGGCGGAGUGCGGUGGUUGCAUGCUCUCGGCGACGGCAGGUCCUCCAGCUCGACCACAUGUGCCUGCUGCUCGCCGCCGCCGUCAAUUGGAUGGCCGUGGAGUUGGGCCCCUUUGAACCUGAGCGGUUCCUCUCCUCCAGAGAGACCACGGGUGGAGGCGUGUUGUGGGCUUGCUACUUCUGUCAGUUUCCACCUAUGUAAUGUGCUACAACUUUGCAACAUUACUACUUGUUGCACACCGGUUGACUCGUCACAGGUAUGCUUCCUCCCUGUAGUUUGAUAAAAAGGUGUAUUCUUUCUAUUUGUUGUUACCAUAUAGUAUUAGCAAGUUAUAUUAAUGAUAUGUGUUUUUAAGACAAAAGAAAAAGGCUUGCAUUUAUUAACUGAAUUUGGUCCAUAUGUGUGAAUAUAUAUGCAAUAGAGUUUUCGCAUGUGUUGUAGGUGAUGCAUAUAACACUGGAGCUUUUUUCAUUGUUCUCCUCAACUGAAAAGGCUAGACAGAAGAGCUGUUACCAAGAACAUUAAACUCACUAAAGUGCAUGUCUGAAUUUAGUAGACCUUCCAUAGUAACCAUGAAUGUAAUUAGAAAAUGCAUGCAGGGAUUAAAUAUGCAAAUUGUACAUUGAUGACCUAUGGAAAAUAUCUGAACCCGAAUGGAUGAACUGAUGAUUUAGAACAACUCUUACUAACCUUUCAAAUUUCAGAAUUUACGGGAAUCACUUGUCGCAUAUGUCAUCUUCUACAAAAAUACUCCGCGGACAACAAAAUAGCUACUGUUACUUUAGGACUACAAAAUAAUCUAUUAGACUCAUUUUGCAGCGAUAAGAAAUAGCAUAUAGCAUGUUGUACAGGAAAAAAUUGUGCAGUAGAAUUGUAGCGUUGCCUUUCACUUAUAUUAGACACUCAAAAACUAUACUUAUUGUCAUAGAAACAUAGACUGAUUGGAACAUAUCUAGUACUCCCUCUGUAAACUAAUAUAAGAGCAUUUAGAUCACUAAAGUAGUGUUCUAAACACUCUUAUAUUAGUUUACGGAGGGAGUAGAAUAUAGCCUUCAGGUGCAGAACUGAAAACAACAUGCAACAGUACGAUUGUCUCUGACCACCCGGAUAAAUGUAUAAUAGUCCUUCCAUAGUAACCACGAAUGUAAUUAGAAUUAUUUCAAAAAAAAUGAAUGUAAUUAGAAAAUGCAUGCAGGGAUCAAAUAUGCAAAUUGUACAUUGAUGACCUAUGGAAAAUAUCUUAACUCGAAUGGAUGAACUGAUUACUGAGAUCAACUCUUACUAACCAUUCAAAUUUCAGAAUUAAUGGAAAUAACUUGAAUUUAUAAGGAUUCACACACAUAUCAUCUUCUAGGAAAAAUCUGCACACAAUACAAUAGCUAUUAUUACUUAAUGACUACUAAAAUAAUCUAUUAUGCUCAUUUUUUAACGAUAAGAGUUGCAUAUAGCAUCUUGUAUAUCAUAACAAUUCUGCAAACAAUAGUAGCUGCUGUUACUAACACAUUGUAUAAUAUGUAAUCUGUUAUAUCCUGAAUUCAGGACCUUUACGCAUUAGUCCUAAGGAUAGCAGUUAGCUUGUAUACAUAAACUUAUCCUUUUUCAAACUGUAAAUCUAAUAUGCACAAUGAUCUGAGAAAAUACCAUUGGAUACAUAUGUCUUUAUACAUUUUGUCAAACACUUGGCAAGCAUGUCCAAAUUCUAACCAACUGUUAGACAGAGUAGGGUGAGGAGUUGAUUAAAUCUAGAAAGAGGAUAGGGCCAUGUUUCAAACAAUUCUGCUAUUACGCCAAGUAAUACCUGCAUCUGGAGUCGAAUUGUUUCUCUUUAUGCCACUUGUAAGUCACAUCCUUGGUGGUCAUCUUACUAUGCUUGUAGACCAUGCUGAUCUAUCCUCUUGCAGACAGUACUACAUGCCUUGAUCGACCUGUGUAUGACACAACUCCAAGAUAGCACGAUAGCAUUCUUCCUACUUUGCGACAUGAUUCUUGUCAAGUGUUUCCUAUGGACAGGAACAGGAUGAUGAGACACGACUGGUUCCUCGGGAGGCGGAAUCUUCAACACCUAACCGAUUGAGGAGAAGAUCUUGUGGAGAGUGGACACAUAAGGCAUGGCUUCGAGGUUUUGGUGGCGCUGUAGGAUGUGGGCUGCAGCCACACAGGACAGGAUGAAUAGUGCGGCCCUAGAGUAGACCAUCAGAAACCCUAGAACUGGGCUACUCGAGAGGCAUAGUUUUGGGGUUUCGAUGGAUUUAUAGGAGGUGAGCUGCAGUUGCAUAGGAGGAAUAGCUCGGCCCUAGGGCAGACCAUCAGAAACCCUAAAACAUGGACUGCUCGAGAGGCAUAUGGCUUUGAAGUUUCGGUAGAGCUGUAGGACGUGAAAUCAGAAUGAGCUUCUAGAGCGUACAUCUCUUUUUGUAUGCAACGUGUCAGGAUUUUUUUUACCAUAUUGAUGCCCGUACUUGAACC